GCUGGCGGCGUGCCUAACACAUGCAAGUCGAACGAGAAAGUGUAGCAAUACAUGAGUAAAGUGGCGACCGGGUGAGUAACACGUGACCACCUGCCCUUGAGUGGGGGAUAACUUCGGGAAACCGAGGCUAAUACCGCAUAACAUCGCAAGAUCAAAGGAGCAAUCCGCUGAAGGAGGGGGUCGCGGCUGAUUAGCUAGUUGGUGAGGUAACGGCUCACCAAGGCGAAGAUCAGUAGCCGGCCUGAGAGGGCGCACGGCCACACUGGAACUGAAACACGGUCCAGACUCCUACGGGAGGCAGCAGUGGGGAAUUUUGCGCAAUGGGGGAAACCCUGACGCAGCAACGCCGCGUGGAGGAUGAAGUCCCUUGGGAUGUAAACUCCUUUCGAUCGGGACGAUAAUGACGGUACCGGAAGAAGAAGCACCGGCUAACUCUGUGCCAGCAGCCGCGGUAAUACAGAGGGUGCAAGCGUUGUUCGGAAUUAUUGGGCGUAAAGGGCGCGUANGCGGUGCGGUAAGUCCGUGGUGAAAUCUCCGGGCUCAACUC
rnacentral:rRNA from 1 species